UGGAUGCCUGGAAAGGCAUGAUUGAGCUCCAGCAGGCUGGGCUGGUGAAAAGCAUUGGGGUGUGUAACUUCCAGGUGCACCACCUGCAGCGUCUGA
rnacentral:tRNA from 1 species